AACGUAGGUUCCGAGCGUUGUCCGGAUUUACUGGGCGUAAAGAGCGCGCAGGCGGUCGUUCAAGUCGCGUGUGAAAGCCCCCGGCUCAACUGGGGAGGGUCACGCGAUACUGAUCGACUGGAAGGCAGGAGAGGGUAGUGGAAUUCCCGGUGUAGUGGUGAAAUGCGUAGAUAUCGGGAGGAACACCAGUGGCGAAGGCGACUACCUGGCCUGUUCUUGACGCUGAGGCGCGAAAGCUAGGGGAGCAAACGGG
rnacentral:rRNA from 1 species